rnacentral:lncRNA from 1 species
UGGUUCGCAUCUCCACACUUUCUCUGCUGUCUCUGUUCCCAUCCUCAGCCUGCCGGCCGAGGUCUCGUGGGCAGGGCCCCUUCCCUGCAAUGCCAGUCUGUACCCUCCAUCCAGCACCACCAGGAGCCCCUUCUCAAAUCUUCCCAUCGAUGAGGCUUCCAGCCCCUCCCAGUGGUGUGAACUUGCUUACACAAAAGAAGAGUCAACAAGGCAGAGUUUCGUUGUCUCUGGAGCUCUUAAAACCUGGGUUCAAGCUCAAGGCUCCCUCCACCGACUCUUUCUCUAAUGCUACCUGGGUAACCGGGGGGUUUCCAGCAUGCAGCCUGCCCCAAUGAAUGCUGCUUCCGAGCAGAUGGUGGAGGGGACUGGGAAAGACUCACUCUGACCCCUGAGUGUGUGAGUGUGUAGAGGGCAGCAGCUAAUGCUGUCCCAGCAGGGGAUAAAGCCAGAGGACACACAGACAGUGACAAUCCCACAAGGACCACCUUCUACAUUUAGAUUGCUCACGUGCACUUGGCUUUGCCUCUAGGAGACUCACACCCAGACCCAUUCUGAAUAAUCAGUGAUAGAUGUGGGCUUGCUCACUUCUGUCCCCAGAAGCCAAACACCAUUGAGAAGGGCAGCAAGAGGUCCAAGGCUCCGACCCACCAGUGGGUGUGGCGUGGCCAGGAAAUGCCUCAGGAUCCAAGCUGUUGCCACUGCCUGGGUCCUGGACACAGACGUGAGCUGCCGGGCUCCCAGGCACUGCACGGGAGACACACACGCAUACCUGUGCAUAGGAGACGAGCACACCACCGGGGAGGCCGAGGGGGGCCCGUCCUCCUCUGCCUAGCAGACCUCAUCCAAGGAGAGGUCUGACUGCUCUCCUUGAAGAAUUACAGGGCGACUCCGAGUGGAUGAAGACUCUGCUUAAUAUUUUUGGUAAUGAAAACACUUUGUAGGACAAGUGCUUUUUAAGACUCAGAGAUGGGGGAAUCUGAGUGGCAUUUUAAAUGGGCUGUUGGACAAGAUUCGCCACGGCCCUGGUAAAUGUCACACAUUUCACCAGCUGGGCGAAGAGGCAUGUUAGCUAUGUUUCUCCCAAACCUGAUUAAAAUGGAAAGUGCCUUUUGAAUAUUUGGUUCUGUUUUCUAUUAUGUCAGACAUGUGGGAGAGAAACAAAGAGAACAAGCGGGGAGA